GAUGAACGCUAGCGGCAGGCCUAAUACAUGCAAGUCGAACGGUCAGCAAUGACAGUGGCGCACGGGUGCGUAACGCGUAUGCAACUUACCCAACAGUGGGGAAUAGCCCGGGGAAACCCGGAUUAAUACCGCAUAAGAAGAGUGAAUGGCAUCAUUUACUUUUGAAACAUUUAUGGCUGAUGGAUGGGCAUGCGUAAGAUUAGCUAGUUGGCGGUGUAAGGGACCACCAAGGCGAUGAUCUUUAGGGGUUCUGAGAGGAAGAUCCCCCACACUGGUACUGAGAUACGGACCAGACUCCUACGGGAGGCAGCAGUAGGGAAUAUUGGGCAAUGCCCGCAAGGGUGACCCAGCCAUGCCGCGUGCAGGAAGAAGGCCUUCUGGGUUGUAAACUGCUUUUGGAAGGGAACAAAACGGGCCUGCGGGCCAACUUGAGUGUACCUUCAGAAUAAGCACCGGCUAACUCCGUGCCAGCAGCCGCGGUAAUACGGAGGGUGCAAGCGUUGUCCGGAUUUAUUGGGUUUAAAGGGUGCGUAGGCGGCCUAUUAAGUCAGGGGUGAAAGACUAUUGCUUAACAAUGGCAGUGCCUUUGAUACUGAUAGGCUUGAGUACAGUUGAGGCAGAUGGAACGGGUGGUGUAGCGGUGAAAUGCAUAGAUACCAUCCAGAACACCGAUUGCGAAGGCAGUCUGCUAACCUGUAACUGACGCUGAGGCACGAAAGCGUGGGGAUCGAACAGGAUUAGAUACCCUGGUAGUCCACGCCGUAAACGAUGAUGACUCGAUGUUAGGGAUAUACUCUUAGCGUCCAAGCGAAAGCGUUAAGUCAUCC
rnacentral:rRNA from 1 species